CCUGUUUCGACAAUGGCUUCUUCUUCUUUUUAUGGUUCUCUAGUCAUUCUUUCAAUGCGAGAAAAAAUUUUGUGAUAACAAUGAACAUUAAUUCGAAAAGGGUUUGAUCAAAUCCAAUUGUUUAUAUGACCUUCAUUUUCUCUAUCAGUGGCUUUCACCUCUCUUGUGGUUCUAUUACAAUCGCAUAUUUGCUUCCAUUUUUUUGUUUUUCUGUAUUGUUGAUUUUUG
rnacentral:lncRNA from 1 species